AACUCCCCCAAAAUAGACACAGAGGUCAGACACUGUCAUCGUGGAGCUCAGAGGUCAGUGGGGAGGAUGGAGUAUGAAUAAAGUGUUACAAUGCAACGCGUCCAGCUUCUGCAGGAGGAAGUACAGAAGCUCCGAGAUUAGGCCACACAGGGUCGAAACCUGCUUCUGCCGCUGACUGGCUGUCUGUCCUUCAUCAGGUCAUUUAACCUCUAAAUGUUGCCAACACCAUUCUACGUGAAUGAAGGUGUCUGGAGUGCUUGCACCCAGAGAAGGUUGUGAGAUCGUUGUCAUCACCCAGACGUGGUAGCAGACACCUGCACUCUCACUCGGAUGAAUCUGGGGCUGGCCUGGGACCUCGACGCAGACAUCUGGUUGCAGCCGAAAGACAUCGUCCCUCACCUUAAAUUAAGGACGUUAACAUGAAAUUGACUGGUCUCGUAGUUUUGUUUGUAUUUAAUUUUUAAGUUUGUUUUGGUUUUAGAGUUGUGUAAGAGCUAAAAGAAUAAGGAAGUUUUACCAGGAUGUCUGUUUGUAAAUAUUUAAUUUAUGUUUGAAUAAAAGUAAUUCAAGUGACA